rnacentral:rRNA from 1 species
UUUGGUUAAGUUAGAAAGGGCGCACGGUGGAUGCCUUGACACUAGGAGUCGAUGAAGGACGGGACUAACGCCGAUAUGCUUCGGGGAGCUGUAAGUAAGCUUUGAUCCGAAGAUUUCCGAAUGGGGAAACCCACCAUACGUAAUGGUAUGGUAUCCUUAUCUGAAUACAUAGGGUAAGGAAGACAGACCCAGGGAACUGAAACAUCUAAGUACCUGGAGGAAGAGAAAGCAAAUGCGAUUUCCUGAGUAGCGGCGAGCGAAACGGAACAUAGCCCAAACCAAGAGGCUUGCCUCUUGGGGUUGUAGGACAUUCUAUACGGAGUUACAAAGGAACGAGGUAGACGAAGCGACCUGGAAAGGUCCGUCGUAGAGGGUAACAACCCCGUAGUCGAAACUUCGUUCUCUCUUGAAUGUAUCCUGAGUACGGCGGAACACGUGAAAUUCCGUCGGAAUCUGGGAGGACCAUCUCCCAAGGCUAAAUACUCCCUAGUGAUCGAUAGUGAACCAGUACCGUGAGGGAAAGGUGAAAAGCACCCCGGAAGGGGAGUGAAAGAGAUCCUGAAACCGUGUGCCUACAAAUAGUCAGAGCCCGUUAACGGGUGAUGGCGUGCCUUUUGUAGAAUGAACCGGCGAGUUACGAUCCCGUGCGAGGUUAAGCUGAAGAGGCGGAGCCGCAGCGAAAGCGAGUCUGAAUAGGGCGUUUAGUACGUGGUCGUAGACCCGAAACCAGGUGAUCUACCCAUGUCCAGGGUGAAGUUCAGGUAACACUGAAUGGAGGCCCGAACCCACGCACGUUGAAAAGUGCGGGGAUGAGGUGUGGGUAGCGGAGAAAUUCCAAUCGAACCUGGAGAUAGCUGGUUCUCCCCGAAAUAGCUUUAGGGCUAGCCUUAAGUGUAAGAGUCUUGGAGGUAGAGCACUGAUUGGACUAGGGGUCCUCAUCGGAUUACCGAAUUCAGUCAAACUCCGAAUGCCAAUGACUUAUCCUUAGGAGUCAGACUGCGAGUGAUAAGAUCCGUAGUCAAAAGGGAAACAGCCCAGACCGCCAGCUAAGGUCCCAAAGUGUGUAUUAAGUGGAAAAGGAUGUGGAGUUGCUUAGACAACUAGGAUGUUGGCUUAGAAGCAGCCACCAUUUAAAGAGUGCGUAAUAGCUCACUAGUCGAGUGACUCUGCGCCGAAAAUGUACCGGGGCUAAAUACACCACCGAAGCUGCGGAUUGAUACCAAUGGUAUCAGUGGUAGGGGAGCGUUCUAAGGACAGUGAAGUCAGACCGGAAGGACUGGUGGAGUGCUUAGAAGUGAGAAUGCCGGUAUGAGUAGCGAAAGACGGGUGAGAAUCCCGUCCACCGAAUGCCUAAGGUUUCCUGAGGAAGGCUCGUCCGCUCAGGGUUAGUCAGGACCUAAGCCGAGGCCGACAGGCGUAGGCGAUGGACAACAGGUUGAUAUUCCUGUACCACCUCUUUAUCGUUUGAGCAAUGGAGGGACGCAGAAGGAUAGAAGAAGCGUGCGAUUGGUUGUGCACGUCCAAGCAGUUAGGCUGAUAAGUAGGCAAAUCCGCUUAUCGUGAAGGCUGAGCUGUGAUGGGGAAGCUCCUUAUGGAGCGAAGUCUUUGAUUCCCCGCUGCCAAGAAAAGCUUCUAGCGAGAUAAAAGGUGCCUGUACCGCAAACCGACACAGGUAGGCGAGGAGAGAAUCCUAAGGUGUGCGAGAGAACUCUGGUUAAGGAACUCGGCAAAAUGACCCCGUAACUUCGGGAGAAGGGGUGCUUUCUUAACGGAAAGCCGCAGUGAAUAGGCCCAAGCGACUGUUUAGCAAAAACACAGCUCUCUGCGAAGCCGUAAGGCGAAGUAUAGGGGGUGACACCUGCCCGGUGCUGGAAGGUUAAGGAGAGGGGUUAGCGUAAGCGAAGCUCUGAACUGAAGCCCCAGUAAACGGCGGCCGUAACUAUAACGGUCCUAAGGUAGCGAAAUUCCUUGUCGGGUAAGUUCCGACCCGCACGAAAGGUGUAACGAUUUGGGCACUGUCUCAACCAGAGACUCGGUGAAAUUAUAGUACCUGUGAAGAUGCAGGUUACCCGCGACAGGACGGAAAGACCCCGUGGAGCUUUACUGUAGCCUGAUAUUGAAUUUUGGUACAGUUUGUACAGGAUAGGCGGGAGCCAUUGAAACCGGAGCGCUAGCUUCGGUGGAGGCGCUGGUGGGAUACCGCCCUGACUGUAUUGAAAUUCUAACCUACGGGUCUUAUCGACCCGGGAGACAGUGUCAGGUGGGCAGUUUGACUGGGGCGGUCGCCUCCUAAAGUGUAACGGAGGCGCCCAAAGGUUCCCUCAGAAUGGUUGGAAAUCAUUCGUAGAGUGCAAAGGCAUAAGGGAGCUUGACUGCGAGACCUACAAGUCGAGCAGGGACGAAAGUCGGGCUUAGUGAUCCGGUGGUUCCGCAUGGAAGGGCCAUCGCUCAACGGAUAAAAGCUACCCCGGGGAUAACAGGCUUAUCUCCCCCAAGAGUCCACAUCGACGGGGAGGUUUGGCACCUCGAUGUCGGCUCAUCGCAUCCUGGGGCUGUAGUCGGUCCCAAGGGUUGGGCUGUUCGCCCAUUAAAGCGGUACGCGAGCUGGGUUCAGAACGUCGUGAGACAGUUCGGUCCCUAUCCGUCGUGGGCGUAGGAAAUUUGAGAGGAGCUGUCCUUAGUACGAGAGGACCGGGAUGGACGCACCGCUGGUGUACCAGUUGUUCUGCCAAGGGCAUAGCUGGGUAGCUAUGUGCGGAAGGGAUAAGUACUGAAAGCAUCUAAGCAUGAAGCCCCCCUCAAGAUGAGAUUUCCCAUAGCGUAAGCUAGUAAGAUCCCUGAAAGAUGAUCAGGUUGAUAGGUUCGAGGUGGAAGCAUGGUGACAUGUGGAGCUGACGAAUACUAAUAGAUCGAGGACUUAACCAUAUAA